UUUUAUUUUCUUUGUAUGUAAAUGAUCUUCCAAAUGUUUGUCUUAAUGCCAACACCCAAAUGUAUGCAGAUGACACAGUAAUCUUUGUACAUGCUGACAAUGCAGCUCAAGCUGCUGAUCUGCUAACAAACUCAAUGCAAAAGAUAACAGAAUGGCUAAAUCACAAUUGCCUUCAACUGAAUGUAUCUAAAACUGUAUGUAUGUUUUUUAGUAAAUCUAAAAGUUGCUGUGCAGAAUCUGAUGUAGUCGUAGCAGGGGAGAGACUACAAGUCAUCUCAGAUUUGAAAUACCUUGGAGUAUACAUUGAUAACAAUCUUAAUUUUAAAUCAUAUAUUAAGAAGGUUUGUAAUCGCAUUAAGUUCAACCUGGCAAACUUUAGACAUGUCUGCAAUUGCAUGUCAACAGGGGCUGCAAUGAUGUUUAUGCACUCAAUGAUUUUAUCCCAUAUCACCUACUGUUUGACAACCUGGUCACAAGCAAGCAACACUUCUCUCAAACCACUACUCUCCCUAUAUAAAAAACUCUUAAAGUGCUUGAUAGGAAACCCAUAUAUUAUCAUCAUUGUCAUGUUUUAAAAAAAAAAAACCUUUUAAGUUUCGAAAAUUUGAUUAGAUAUACAGAUCUCUGUCUUAUGUACAAAAUUCUACAUGGACUGGCUCCUCAUGUAUUGAGCCAGUUUGUAACCAAAUGCUUACAGAUCUACAAUGAGUGCAGCAAGAGGUGACUGCAUUGUCCCGUUGAGGAAAAGUGCAUUCGGUCAAACAGCUUUUUCAGUCAGGGCUGCUCGUGAAUGGAACCUCAUUCCAACUCACAUUAGAAAUUUUAAAACAUACGUUUCUUUUAAAUUUAACUUAAAGAAGUGGCUAACAGGUAAUCAGGAGUGUCGACAUUACAUAUAGACACUAAAUCUUGCUGCUAUCUUGUCUUUCCUGUCCUGCCUGUUUGUGCCACUUGUGCUAUGCCUAUGAGGUUGUUGGACUGAAAGUGUG